AAUCAUCUAUUAGUGAUGUUCUCUGAGCGACAUGAAUAUUUCACUGUUGACGUGCUGCAAUAUUUACUGAAAUGUUCAAAAUCUUGUGGUAAGUUCAGUUCAUCCCACGUCCAUCAAAUGGUUUCAAACUUUCGGUUUCAGAGCUUCUAAAUAAAAGAGAGCUUCUUCCAGAGCGGCCAUUUUGGUUUAAAUAUAAGGAAGAUGCAGAGAAAAUAACAAACGCAGCUCAUCCACCCACAGAAAGAGGAAACGAACCAGAAAUCAUUGCAGCUGCAACACAAUAAGAGGUCAGAGGCCGCAGCCACAAACUCGCUUCAGGAACAGAUGAGCUGGAUAACUCUGUUACAAAACCUACAACUCACAUCCGGGAUGAUGAAGACACAGAAGAGGAUGUGAANNNNNNNNNNNNNNNNNNNNNNNNNNNNNNNNNNNNNNNNNNNNNNNNNNNNNNNNNNNNNNNNNNNNNNNNNNNNNNNNNNNNNNNNNNNNNNNNNNNNUGAUUCCCCAAUCCCGACCAAAAGAAUUGACCUCAAACUGUCUCAUAUGAACCUGAACAAAGACUCAGACCUGAGACUGUCUGGAUCCAGAAGAAGUGACUUUCCUUCACUGUUGAAGUGUUUUAUCGCGCUUCUCUGAUCUUAUGUUUGUGCAAAUCUCACAUCUAUAUUCAUCCAGUAAAUGUUUUGAUGAACUGAACUGACUGUAGUUAAUGUGUUGUGUCACAUCUCCUCCAGCUGAAGUACAAGCAGAGCUCAAAGAAAGACUCGUCCAGUUUGUUCCACCUGAUGCCAGAAACCAUCGACACCCAGUUUGCCCGACAGCAGACGGAGAUGCUCAGCGAGGUCAAGUACAAAGAAGACGGUAAGAAAGAGAUGAGCGUCAACCUGUUCUCUCUGGUGCCGGACACCAUCGACCAGCAGCAUGCUAAAGAGCUGAGAGACCUGCAGAGUGAGACUAAAUACAAAGAGGCCAGUAAGAAGCAGACGUCAACGCCUCUGUAUCACCGACUGCCUGAAACUCUGGAGACACAACACGCUAAAGAGGCUUCACAGCUACAGAGUCAGGUACGUACAGACGUCAUGGGACAGACACAGAAAUCUGUCUUCAUCACAGAGUCCAGUCUCAUACUGAUGCUGUCUCCUCUGUAUGUUGCAGAUCUUGUAUAAAGAGGCUGGUAAGAAGGAGAUGUCGCGUCCAGUUUACCACCAGCUGCCCGACACUCUGGAGAACCAGUUUGCUCGAGAGCUCAGCGGCAUGCAGAGCCAAGUAAGAGCACCAAAACUCUACAUGCAGGUGUGGCAUCUGCACCUGUGCCCGGCUGUAAAUCGCCUCUGUACUUUGUCUUCACACUGACCUCUGUCUCCUCACUGGGAGGCUGUUGGAUCCAGUUGAGCUGAGCGCUGACCCACUCUCCUGGCGCUGCUGCUGGGGGCUUGGCUCCACGCUAUCCGCACCAUAAGCUAAUUAGCUGAUGGUGGCUAGCUACAGCCAAGUAUAGCUAGCAAAGAGUCUGGUUGAUGUGCUGCCAUCUUUAUUUUUGGAGCUACCUUUAAAUUCUGACAUCAGCACAUUAUGGCAGUGUAAUGUAACAGCACCAAAGCUUUCAGCCGCAUCUCGUGGCCUCCGUCAGUCGAUGGAGUUUUCUCAGGAUGACAGAAGAUGUCUGCUAAGCUUCUGCUAAAUUUUGCAGCACUGACCUUUAUGUAACCUGAAAUGAAUCAUAAGUGGGUAACACAGUGUUUAGUUAAGUGAUGCGAGGUCAAACUCAAAUCUUAAAACUCCCAACAGUGAAAUGACGAGCGACUUUAAAGCCGCACCAUGUAGAAAUUGGUAUUUUGUGUGCUUUGGUGCUUACAAAUAUCAGCUCUGUAACAGUUUGUCAGAUGUAAUGAAGGUGCUAACUACAAACAAAACUCAGUACGUCAUAACAAUGUACCCUCUGAUUGAAGUCACGUACUGUCAACGUGACUUUGAAGAUAGUUGAAGGUAAAAAAGUUACAUAAUGUUGCUUCAUCUGUCUCAGUUGUGAGUCGCUGGCAGACAUUUCUCUUUCUGCCGCUCAUCUCUGCGAUGACGUCUGUGUUGAGUUAUGAAUGAAUGAAUCUAUAAUGAAUGAGUGACUUUCCUUCUCUUCUGUGUCGUCCAUCUGUUUCUGUGCAGCUCUCACUUCUUCUCUCAGCGGUAGCUAUUAUUAAUUUUGGCCCCAAACUCCGUAAACCACUCGAGCUGUUUAUUGUUAAAUCACGUUAUUACUAAUUAUAAUCGGCCUCUUUUUGUUUUUUUUAUUCUCUGCUCGCAGAACAAGUACAAGGAGGACGGGAUGAAGAGCCUCUCUCAGAGCUUCUACUCUCAGCUGCCAGAAACUGCUGAGACUCAGUUUGCUAAAAGUGUUUCUGAGCUGCAGAGCGAGGUGAGAUGAAACAAAGAGAGGAGAGAGAUGAUAAAUCCAUGAAUAUAUGCCUGUUAAUAAAUGAGACACACUCAGAACGUAACGACAAGAAAGAUUAAAGCUCCAUCAGGUAGACCAAACAGUCAAAACGAUAUUUAUGAGAAGAUUUGAAUAAUAUUUUGGUUGUGUUUCAUCUGUUGUGACUGAAAAUACAUCCAGUUAAGCAGAAAAGGAUAAAUUCUGGCCAUUGAGUGAAAUCUAAAGACUUUUUAAGUGCUUUUUAAUUAAAAACACAAAAUAAGGCGGAAUCUAAACGGGGAGAAUGUAUCAUUUAUAUCCUCUGGAGUUUAAGAAAGAUGGAUGAAUGUUUUUCACACUUUGUUUGCCUGAAAAACAUUUAUUACCUGUCUGAUCUUCUGAGAGUUAAUCCAGAAGUUCUCUAUGCCAUUUGUGAAUGUAUGAUGCCGUAUCUUGAGAUACAAAGAUAAUAAUCGAAUUAGAUUGAGGACAAGGCGUUCACGUGGUUGGGACUUGGUGC
rnacentral:lncRNA from 1 species